rnacentral:rRNA from 1 species
GAAUAUUGGACAAUGGGGGCAACCCUGAUCCAGCCAUGCCGCGUGUGUGAAGAAGGCCUUAGGGUUGUAAAGCACUUUCAGUGGGGAGAAAAGUUGUUCACUUAAUACGUGACUAAAUUGAUGUUACCCACAGAAGAAGCACCGGCUAACUCCGUGCCAGCAGCCGCGGUAAUACGGAGGGUGCAAGCGUUAAUCGGAAUUACUGGGCGUAAAGCGCACGUAGGCGGUAAGUUAAGUCAGCUGUGAAAUCCCCGGGCUCAACCUGGGAAUUGCAGUUGAAACUGGCUUGCUAGAGUAUGGUAGAGGGGUGUGGAAUUUCAGGUGUAGCGGUGAAAUGCGUAGAUAUCUGAAGGAACAUCAGUGGCGAAGGCGACACCCUGGACCAAUACUGACGCUGAGGUGCGAAAGCGUGGGGAGCAAACAGG